rnacentral:rRNA from 1 species
UUUGUACGGCUCAGUAACACGUAUCAACUGCCCUGGAGACAUGGACACCCGGGAAACUGGGAUAAUCCGUGAUAGGUCAUCGCAUCUGGAAGGAGCGAUGGCUUAAAGGGGUACGCGGGCUUCUUCUGCGUAUUCGCUCCAGGAUGGGACUGCGUCCGAUCAGGCUGUUGGCGGGGUAAUGGCCCACCAAACCUGUAACCGGUACGGGCCUUGAGAGAGGUGGCCCGGAGAUGGACACUGAGAGAAGGGUCCAGGUCCUACGGGGCGCAGCAGGCGCGAAACCUUCGCAAUGCGCGAAAGCGUGACGAGGUUAAUCCGAGUGACUUCCGCUGAGGAGGUCUUUUGUCAGCUGUAAAUAGGCGGGCGAAUAAGGGGAGGGCAAGCCUGGUGUCAGCCGCCGCGGUAAUACCAGCUCCUCGAGUGGUCGGGGCGAUUAUUGGGCCUAAAGCAUCCGUAGCCGGUUCCGUAGGUCCUCUGUUAAAUCCAUCAGCUCAACUGAUGACCUGCAGAGGAUACCGCGGGACUAGGAGGCGGGAGAGGCGGACGGUACUCCGCGUGUAGGGGUAAAAUCCUUUGAUCCGCGGAAGACCACCAGUGGCGAAGGCGGUCCGCCAGAACGCGCUCGACGGUGAGGGAUGAAAGCUGGGGGAGCGAACCGGAUUAGAUACCCGGGUAGUCCCAGCCGUAAACGAUGCUAGCUAGAUGAUUCAUUCGCAAGUCGCGAAUGAAGUGUCGCAGGGAAGCCGUUAAGCUAGCCGCCUGGGGAGUACGUCGCGAGACUGAAUUU